rnacentral:rRNA from 1 species
UACGAAGGGUGCUAGCGUUGUUCGGAAUUACUGGGCGUAAAGCGUACGUAGGCGGCUUAGUAAGUCGAUUGUGAAAGCCCUAGGCUCAACCUGGGAAUUGCAAUCGAAACUGCUUGGCUUGAGUUUGGUGGGGGAUGGUGGAAUUUCUAGUGUAGGGGUGAAAUCCGUAGAUAUUAGAAGGAAUACCGGUGGCGAAAGCGACCAUCUACGCCAAUACUGACGCUAAGGUACGAAAGCGUGGGGAGCAAACAGG